rnacentral:rRNA from 1 species
UACGUAGGGGGGCAAGCGUUGUCCGGAUUUAUUGGGCGUAAAGAGCCGUGUAGGCGGCUUUACAGGGUCCGUUGUGAAAACUCGAGGCUCAACCUCGAGACGCCGGUGGAAACCGUAAGGCUAGAGUCCGGUAGGGGACCACGGAAUUCCUGGUGUAGCGGUGAAAUGCGCAGAUAUCAGGAGGAACACCGGUGGCGAAGGCGGUGGUCUGGGCCGGAACUGACGCUGGAGGAGCGAAAGGCGUGGGGAGCGAACAGG